AUCGCUUCUCUGCCUUUUGGUUAAGAUCAAGUAUAGUAUCUGUUCUUAUCAGUUUAAUAUCUAAGUACUUCCCUGGUAAAAACGUACGCAUGAACAACAU
ensembl:snRNA U2 U2 spliceosomal RNA